UAUAUUGCACAAUGCGCGCAAGCCUGAUGCAGCGACGCCGCGUGAGGGAUGUACAUGUGCCUUCGGGUUGUAAACCUCUUUUAGCAGGGAAGAAGCGAAAGUGACGGUACCUGCAGAAGAAGCGCCGGCUUAACUUCGUGCCAGCAGCCGCGGUAAUACGUAGGGCGCAAGCGUUGUUCGGAAUUAUUGUGGCGUAAAGAGCUCGUAGUGCGGCUUGUCGCGUCGGUAUGUGAAAGCCCGGGGCUUAACCCCGGGUCUGCAGUCGAUACGGGCAGGCUAGAGUUCGGUAGGGGAGAUCGGAAUUCCUGGUGUAGCGGUGAAAUGCGCAGAUAUCAGAGAGGAACACCGGAUGGCGAAGGCGGAUCUCUGGCCUGAACCCUAAGCUGAGAAACCAUAGCGGUGCGAAGCGAACAGAU
rnacentral:rRNA from 1 species